GAUGAAGAACGCAGCGAAAUGCGAUAAGUAGUGUGAAUUGCAGAAUUCAGUGAAUCAUCGAAUCUUUGAACGCACAUUGCGCCCCUUGGUAUCCCGAGGGGCAUGCCUGUUCGAGCGUCAUUUCACCACUCAAGCCUGGCUUGGUGUUGGGCGACGUCCCCUUUGGGGACGCGCCUCGAAACGCUCGGCGGCGUGGCACCGGCUUUAAGCGUAGCAGAAUCUUUCGCUUUGGAAGUCGGGGGCCCGUCUGCCGGAAGACCUACUCGCAAGGUUGACCUCGGAUCAGGUAGGAAUACCCGCUGAACUUAAGCAUAUCAAUAAGCGGAGGA
rnacentral:misc_RNA from 1 species